rnacentral:rRNA from 1 species
AUCGUGGUGGGAGACAGUGUCAGGCGGGCAGUUUGACUGGGGCGGUCGCCUCCUAAAAGGUAACGGAGGCGCUCAAAGGUUCCCUCAGAAUGGUUGGAAAUCAUUCAUAGAGUGUAAAGGCAUAAGGGAGCUUGACUGCGAGACCUACAAGUCGAGCAGGGUCGAAAGACGGACUUAGUGAUCCGGUGGUUCCGCAUGGAAGGGCCAUCGCUCAACGGAUAAAAGCUACCCCGGGGAUAA